rnacentral:rRNA from 1 species
UGGGGAAUAUUGCACAAUGGGCGAAAGCCUGAUGCAGCGACGCCGCGUGAGGGAUGACGGCCUUCGGGUUGUAAACCUCUUUCAGUAGGGCGAAGCGCAAGUGACGGUACCUUCAGAAGAAGCACCGGCUAACUACGUUCCAGCAGCCGCGGUAAUACGUAGGGUGCGAGCGUUGUCCGGAAUUACUGGGCGUAAAGAGCUCGUAGGCGGUUUGUCACGUCGUCUGUGAAAUCCUAGGGCUUAACCCUGGACGUGCAGGCGAUACGGGCUGACUUGAGUACUACAGGGGAGACUGGAAUUUCUGGUGUAGCGGUGGAAUGCACAGAUAUCAGGAAGAACACCGAUGGCGAAGGCAGGUCUCUGGGUAGUAACUGACGCUGAGGAGCGAAAGCAUGGGUAGCGAACAGG